rnacentral:tRNA from 1 species
GCGUUAGUAGUUUAGUGGUAAAAUCCAUCGUUGCCAUCGAUGGGCCCCGUGUUCGAUUCACGGCUGACGCA